rnacentral:rRNA from 1 species
AGUGGGGAAUAUUGCACAAUGGGCGAAAGCCUGAUGCAGCAACGCCGCGUGAGCGAUGAAGGCCUUCGGGUCGUAAAGCUCUGUCCUAUGGGAAGAUAAUGACGGUACCAUAGGAGGAAGCCCCGGCUAACUACGUGCCAGCAGCCGCGGUAAUACGUAGGGGGCAAGCGUUAUCCGGAAUUACUGGGCGUAAAGGGUGCGUAGGCGGUUUAUCAAGUCAGGGGUGAAAGGCUACGGCUCAACCGUAGUGAGCCUCUGAAACUGGUGAACUUGAGUGUAGGAGAGGAAAGUGGAAUUCCCAGUGUAGCGGUGAAAUGCGUAGAUAUUGGGAGGAACACCAGUGGCGAAGGCGACUUUCUGGACUACAACUGACGCUGAGGCACGAAAGCGUGGGGAGCAAA